AUUGAACGCUGGCGGCCGGCCUAACACAUGCAAGUCGAACGAGUGGCGGACGGGUGCGUAAUGUCUGGGAAACUGCCUGAUGGAGGGGGAUAACUACUGAAAACGGUAGCUAAUACCGCAUACCAUCGGAUGUGCCCAGACGGGAUUAGCUAGUAGGUGGGGUAACGGCUCACCUAGGCGAACAUCCCUAGCUGGUCUGAGAGGAUGACCAGCCACACUGGAACUGAGACACGGGCCAGACUCCGACGGGAGGCAGCAGUGGGGAAUAUUGCACACUGGGCGCAAGCCUGACGCAGCCAUGCCGCGUGUAUGAAGAAGGCCUUCGGGUUGUAAAGUACUUUCAGCGGGGAGGCGUUACCCGCAGAAGAAGCACCGGCUAACUCCGUGCCAGCCGCCGCGGUAAUUC
rnacentral:rRNA from 1 species